CGCGUAGGUGGCCAAUUAAGUCAAAUGUGAAAUCCCCGAGCUUAACUUGGGAAUUGCAUUCGAUACUGGUUGGCUAGAGUAUGGGAGAGGAUGGUAGAAUUCCAGGUGUAGCGGUGAAAUGCGUAGAGAUCUGGAGGAAUACCGAUGGCGAAGGCAGCCAUCUGGCCUAAUACUGACACUGAGGUGCGAAAGCAUAGGGAGCAAACA
rnacentral:rRNA from 1 species